rnacentral:misc_RNA from 1 species
AAAUUCUUGUUCCAACAAAUACUUAAUUAUAAAUAAUAUACGGAUUAGCCCUUUUUCUUUUCGCUUCCUUUUAAAUUGUGGCCAUUCCCACAAGCAGAAGCACUACCUUUCAACAGACAAGUCACUCAUUGAACUUGUUUUCUAGUUGCUAUAUCCACAUGGUCGAAGAAUCUAUCCACAUUCAUGAUCCAAUAUAAAAAUUGCUGUAUAUUGAGAUUGUCAUAGAAAUUAAGAAUAUUAAGAUAACCCGUGCUUUUUCUCCUAUCACCAUCGUAUCAUUGAUGCCUAUUGAACUUGAUU